UACGUAGGGUGCAAGCGUUGUCCGGAAUUAUUGGGCGUAAAGAGCUCGUAGGCGGUUUGUCACGUCGAAUGUGAAAACCCGGGGCUCAACCCCGGGCCUGCAUUCGAUACGGGCAGACUAGAGUUCGGUAGGGGAGUCUGGAAUUCCUGGUGUAGCGGUGAAAUGCGCAGAUAUCAGGAGGAACACCGGUGGCGAAGGCGGGACUCUGGGCCGAUACUGACGCUGAGGAGCGAAAGCGUGGGGAGCAAACAGG
rnacentral:rRNA from 1 species